UGAAGACCUUUUAAUGAACUAACUUCCACAUUUCAAUAUGCCCCUGACUUCUAAGGGGUGUUUUUAUUUGUGACUACUCCCAACAGCCUAGAAUUCUAUCAGUACAAAAUCACAUUUUUAUUUUCUGUUUGCAGGAAGAAGAUUUGGUGUUGAUGGAGGAGGCAACAUCUUCAAGGCAAAAACUUAGACCUCAUUCAACAUCAUCCAAUGUUGCAAUCCCCCUCAGGAGCCCAGUGCCCGAUAUGCACAGGAACAUUUCCAGUGUCAGAAGUAGAACUGCCAUGCCAGCCUUUGUGGAGAAAGGUAAUGGUAAUAGUGACUCACAUU